rnacentral:rRNA from 1 species
AUUGAACGCUGGCGGCAGGCUUAACACAUGCAAGUCGAGCGGGGUGAUGGUGCUUGCACUAUCACUUAGCGGCGGACGGGUGAGUAAUGCUUAGGAAUCUGCCUAUUAGUGGGGGACAACAUCUCGAAAGGGAUGCUAAUACCGCAUACGUCCUACGGGAGAAAGUAGGGGAUCACUUGUGACCUUGCGCUAAUAGAUGAGCCUAGGUCGGAUUAGCUAGUUGGUGGGGUAAAGGCCUACCAAGGCGACGGUCUGUAGCGGGUCUGGGAGGAUGAUCCGCCACACUGGGACUGAGACACGGCCCAGACUCCUACGGGAGGCGGCAGUGGGGAAUAUUGGACAAUGGGGGGAACCCUGAUCCAGCCAUGCCGCGUGUGUGAAGAAGGCCUUAUGGUUGUAAAGCACUUUAAGCGAGGAGGAGGCUCUUUUGGUUAAUACCCAAGAUGAGUGGACGUUACUCGCAGAAUAAGCACCGGCUAACUCUGUGCCAGCCGCCGCCGUAACAC